GUAUCCGGGAUUCAUUGGGUUUAAAGGGUGCGUAGGCGGCCUUUUAAGUCAGUGGUGAAAUCUUGCCGCUUAACGGUAAAAUUGCCAUUGAUACUGAAAGGCUUGAGUACAUUUGAGGUAAGCGGAAUGUGUAGUGUAGCGGUGAAAUGCUUAGAUAUUACACAGAACACCGAUUGCGUAGGCAGCUUACUAGAGGUUCACUGACGCUGAUGCACGAAAGCGUGGGGAUCAAACAGGAUUAGAUACCCUGGUAGUCCACGCCGUAAACGAUGAUAACUCGCUGUUGGCGAUACACAGUCAGCGGCUUAGCGAAAGCGUUAAGUUAUCCACCUGGGGAGUACGCUCGCAAGAGUGAAACUCAAAGGAAUUGACGGGGGCCCGCACAAGCGGAGGAACAUGUGGUUUAAUUCGAUGAUACGCGAGGAACCUUACCUGGGCUUAAAUGUGAGACGACCGCCGAAGAAAUUUGGCUUUCCGCAAGGACGACUUACAAGGUGCUGCAUGGUUGUCGUCAGCUCGUGCCGUGAGGUGUCGGGUUAAGUCCCAUAACGAGCGCAACCCUUAUGAUUAGUUGCUAACAGGUCAAGCUGAGGACUCUAGUCAGACUGCCACCGUAAGGUGUGAGGAAGGUGGGGAUGACGUCAAGUCCUCAUGGCCUUUAUGUCUAGGGCUACACACGUACUACAAUGGCCGGUACAAAGGGCAGCCACUCAGCGAUGAGGCGCUAAUCCCAUAAAGCCGGUCUCAGUCCGGAUCGCAGUCUGCAACUCGACUGCGUGAAGUUGGAAUCGCUAGUAAUCGUGGAUCAGCAUGCCACGGUGAAUACGUUCCCGGGCCUUGUACACACCGCCCGUCACACCACGAGAGUUGGUUGUUCCAGAAGCGGUUGAGCUAACUAGCAAUAGGGGCAGGCUGCCAAGGAAUGGCCGGUAAUUGGGGUGAAGUCGUAACAAGGUAACC
rnacentral:rRNA from 1 species